CGCUCAAAUUUGCAUAUUUUGCAUUUUAUUUGAUUGUGUUAUAUGUAACUCUUUGAUUCAUUCAUUAGCCAACUGCACUACCUUGUUUGACUCUCAGUUCUCAGCUAUGACUUGGUUUACUUUAAGGAUUCCUUGCCCGAUAUCUGACUGCCCAAACAACGCCAAGAUGAUUAACUGGGUCUGUGCAACUGACAAGACAACAAUGCAAGUUUGCGAGCAAGGUCGUUUGAGGUGCUCGCGCUGUUUUAGUCCUCACGAGGACCAAAUUGUGAAGUGGAAGUUCGACUGCGGAGACCGUAUAGGGCCACAUCGUAACGAACACUAUUUAUACGCGGACUUCGAGGGCUUUGCACACGCUAUGGCCAUUGGAGUCGCGCAUUUGUCAGAAGCAGGGGCGGCUUGGGUCACGAAACUGGUGGUGGAGGUUGAAAGACAAUACAAGCCUUAGCAUCCAGACUCUAUUCUCAGUCUUAUGACAUUAUAAAGUUUAUCAAUCGGAUUGUGAAUGUAGUAAAAUGUGUUGUUCAUGAAAGUCGUUUCUUCUUAUUUUUGACGGCGAGUCGAACAAUCAAGAAUAUUAUUAAUUUGACUGAGCGUUAGGUUUCAAUAAUGCUCACACCGGUUGUAUGCUUCAUAAGAUGAUUUUUGAAAAAUGCAUCCAAAAUACUAUUAUCUUUCCGUGAGAUAUGAAGACUUGAAAAAAGCAAAGAACAGGUACUUUCCCUUCGCACGAAGAGCAAAAUAAUGAGGAAAUUUCCCUGUUCGCACCGCCAAUCAGCGUUCGAUCUAUUAGACAUUCAAUAGUACAAUACACUCCUGUCAAUCAAAGUUGAAAUCAAUUCUUGGAAGUGGCGUUUUGACCAGGAGUGCAGAUUAAACUAUCGUUUGCCGCUCGGAGAAGUAUUCGAUCCACUGUUCAGCUAAAAGUUCACAAGAAUUUACAAGAAUGGGGAAUAGCGUGACUUGGUAUCAGCUAAAAAUGCCUUGUCCCAUCAAAGGCUGCCCAAACAGUGAAAGGUGCUUGGACUGGGUUUGCUCCGCUGACGGCUACACCAUGUACGUUUGCGAGAAAGGUCGACUGUCAUGUGGCGGGUCACAUGACGCGGAGAUAGUGAACUGGAAAUUUGACUGUGGGGAUCGGGACGGUCCACACAAAAAUGUCCACUUUUUGUACGCUGAUCUUGAAGGCUUCGCGCACGCUAUGGCAAUCGGGGUUGCACAUCUCAAUAGAGCAGGUGCUGACUGGGUGAAGCAGUUAGUCGAUGAAGUGGAGAGACAGUACAAGAGGUGAUACCGAGAGACAACUAUAACUCCCCCCGGUGGCCCCCCUAGGGUGGUCUGCGUCGGUUUAGGUUUUUGGCCAGACCAGUGGUCUGCGCCGGUUUAGGUUUUUGGCCAGACCAGUGGUCUGCGUCGUAUAUUUUAGUCGCCACGACUAGAAACAAAAUCACUUAAAAAUACUUUUUGAUUGUGUAGAUUACACAAUUACACAACAACUAUGGAUUAAUAGAGAAUUAUUAAGAAAAUAAUUAAAAGUGGAAGCAGUCGUGAUUAUUAAGACUAGAAAUAGUAAUUAGAUAUAAAAAGUAGUUAGACAUAUAAAAACUAAAAUUACUGCAAAAGGGAGCCCGCGUGCAUAAAGAACUAUCACAUCAGUCGAGUGUUCAUCUUUUGUUAUCAAUAAAAUCGGCGAAAUGAUGGUA